AACUUUCGAUGGUAGGAUAGAGGCCUACCAUGGUGGUAACGGGUAACGGGGUGUUAGGGCACGACACCGGAGAGGGAGCCUGAGAAACGGCUACCACAUCCAAGGAUGGCAGCAGGCGCGCAAAUUACCCAAUCCCGACACGGGGAGGUAGUGACGAUAAAUAACAAUACGGGGUUCUUUAGGAUCUCGUAAUUGGAAUGAGUACAAUUUAAAUCUCUUAACGAGGAACAAUUGGAGGGCAAGUCUGGUGCCAGCAGCCGCGGUAAUUCCAGCUCCAAUAGCGUAUAUUAAAGUUGUUGCAGUUAAAAAGCUCGUAGUUGAAUUUCGGGGUUAGUAGGUUGGUCAUGCCUCUGGUAUGUACUGGUCUCACUGAUUCCUCCUUCCUGAUGAGCCGUAAUGCCAUUAAUUUGGUGUUGCGGGGAAUUUGGACUGUUACUUUGAAAAAAUUAGAGUGUUUAAAGCAAGCUAACGCUUGAAUACAUUAGCAUGGAAUAAUGAAAUAGGACGUUCGAUCCUAUUUUGUUGGUUUCUAGGAUUGACGUAAUGAUUAAUAGGGAUAGUUGGGGGCAUUAGUAUUCAAUUGUCAGAGGUGAAAUUCUUGGAUUUAUUGAAGACUAACUACUGCGAAAGCAUUUGCCAAGGAUGUUUUCAUUAAUCAAGAACGAAAGUUAGGGGAUCGAAGACGAUCAGAUACCGUCGUAGUCUUAACCAUAAACUAUGCCGACUAGGGAUCGGAUGAUGUUAAUUUUUUAAUGACUCAUUCGGCGCCUUACGGGAAACCAAAGUGUUUGGGUUC
rnacentral:rRNA from 1 species